GACGAACGCUGGCGGCGUGCUUAACACAUGCAAGUCGAACGGACAGGCCCUGCUCUUGUGGGGUGCUCGAGUGGCGCACGGGUGAGUAACACGUGAGUAUCCUGCCCUUGUCUUUGGGAUAUCUCCAGGAAACUGGGGCUAAUACCGCGUAUGAGCUCCUGCUGCGUGGUGGGGGUUGGAAAGUUUCGGCUGUUGGGGCUGGACUCGCGGCUUAUCAGCUUGUUGGUGGGGUUGUGGCUUACCCAGGCUUUGACGGGUAGCGCGCCUGAGCGGCUGAGCGGCGACAUUGGGACUGAGAGACGGCCCAGACUCCGACGGGAGGCAGCAGGGGGGAAGAUUGCACGAUGGGCGGAAGCCUGAUGCAGCAACGCCGCGGGCGGGAUGACGGCCUUCGGGUGGUAAACCGAUUUCGCCAGUGACUAAGCGUGAGUGACGGUAACGGGUAAAGAAGCACCGGCUAACUACGUG
rnacentral:rRNA from 1 species